GCGUGACGGCGCGAGCAGGUGCGAAAGCAGGUCAUAGUGAUCCGGUGGUUCUGAAUGGAAGGGCCAUCGCUCAACGGAUAAAAGGUACUCCGGGGAUAACAGGCUGAUACCGCCCAAGAGUUCAUAUCGACGGCGGUGUUUGGCACCUCGAUGUCGGCUCAUCACAUCCUGGGGCUGAAGUAGGUCCCAAGGGUAUGGCUGUUCGCCAUUUAAAGUGGUACGCGAGCUGGGUUUAGAACGUCGUGAGACAGUUCGGUCCCUAUCUGCCGUGGGCGCUGGAGAACUGAGGGGGGCUGCUCCUAGUACGAGAGGACCGGAGUGGACGCAUCACUGGUGUUCGGGUUGUCAUGCCAAUGGCACUGCCCGGUAGCUAAAUGCGGAAGAGAUAAGUGCUGAAAGCAUCUAAGCACGAAACUUGCCCCGAGAUGAGU
rnacentral:rRNA from 1 species